rnacentral:misc_RNA from 1 species
AUUGUGUCCUGAAGUGAGGAUGGAAAUGGAACCUCAUCUGGUGGGACAUAUCUCAGUAUCAAUACAGAAAUUGCAACCAUGGUGAAAGCAAGAAGUGUGCCCACACUGACCCUUUCCUGACUAGGGAUUGGGGAACUGGGUAGGACAGCAGGUUAUAUUUCAGUUGCCAACGUGCUCUUUACAGGUACUUGUGUACUUCUAUUAACAUCUGAAAAGAAUGAUGGCAGUAAUCCGUCUCUAGCCAUUGCCAUCAAAAUCCGUGGCUGAGGAAGAAGUGAGCCCAUCAGUGUUGAACAGAGUGCCAUAACAGCUCCAACAGUUAUUAUGUACACUGCCCAUUGCAUGCCAUGCUCAGCGAAUGCAGAGGAGAUGGGAGUAUCAGGAUUCAAUGCAUAAUAAGGUACCAGCCCUACAAUGACAACUGAAACUAGCAUGUAUAAGGCACAACAAAUAGACAGUGCAAGGCCUAUGC